rnacentral:rRNA from 1 species
AGCGAACGCUGGCGGCAGGCCUAACACAUGCAAGUCGAGCGCCCAGCAAUGGGAGCGGCAGACGGGUGAGUAACGCGUGGGGAUGUGCCCAAUGGUGCGGAAUAACCCAGGGAAACUUGGAUUAAUACCGCAUGUGCCCUUCGGGGGAAAGAUUUGUCGCCAUUGGAUCAACCCGCGUCUGAUUAGCUAGUUGGUGAGGUAAAGGCUCACCAAGGCGACGAUCAGUAGCUGGUCUGAGAGGAUGAUCAGCCACACUGGGACUGAGACACGGCCCAGACUCCUACGGGAGGCAGCAGUGGGGAAUAUUGGACAAUGGGCGCAAGCCUGAUCCAGCCAUGCCGCGUGAGUGAUGAAGGCCUUAGGGUUGUAAAGCUCUUUCGCCGGUGAAGAUAAUGACGGUAACCGGAGAAGAAGCCCCGGCUAACUUCGUGCCAGCAGCCGCGGUAA